UACGUAGGGCGCAAGCGUUAUCCGGAAUUACUGGGCGUAAAGAGCUCGUAGGUGGUUUGUCGCGUUGUUCGUGAAAACCUGAGGCUUAACCUUGGGCGUGCGGGCGAUACGGGCAGACUGGAGUACUGCAGGGGAGACUGGAAUUCCUGGUGUAGCGGUGGAAUGCGUAGAUAUCGGGAGGAACACCAGUGGCGAAGGCGGGCACCUGGGCCGACACUGACGCUGAGGCGCGAAAGCUAGGGGAGCAAACAGG
rnacentral:rRNA from 1 species